UACGUAGGGUGCGAGCGUUGUCCGGAAUUACUGGGCGUAAAGAGCUCGUAGGUGGUUUGUCGCGUUGUUCGUGAAAACUCACAACUCAAUUGUGGGCGUGCGGGCGAUACGGGCAGACUGGAGUACUGCAGGGGAGACUGGAAUUCCUGGUGUAGCGGUGGAAUGCGCAGAUAUCAGGAAGAACACCCGUGGCGAAAGGGGCUCUCUGGAACGGUACUGACGCUGAGACGCGAAAGCGUGGGGAGCGAACAGG
rnacentral:rRNA from 1 species